rnacentral:misc_RNA from 1 species
UACGAAGGGUGCAAGCGUUGUUCGGAUUUAUUGGGCGUAAAGCGCGCGCAGGCGGAUAGGUAAGUCAGGUGUGAAAUCUCGGAGCUCAACUCCGAAACUGCGCCUGAAACUGCUUGUCUAGAAUCUCGGAGGGGGUUGGGGAAUUUCGCAUGUAGGGGUAAAAUCCGUAGAGAUGCGAAGGAACACCAGAGGCGAAGGCGCCAACCUGGACGAGUAUUGACGCUGAGGCGCGAAAGCGUGGGGAGCAAACAGG